ACAAUAUUAAAGUCAAUACAUGACAAACUCCUGUAAAGCAAAAUAAAUUAUUCUAAUUCCAGAAAUUUUUAUACUUUGGCUAUAGAAGCAAUGCCAUAGUGUUACACAAUACUUAUUUCUUCAUGAAUAUCAAACGCAAAUUUCUAUUAAAUAUAUUUUAUCGAAUAUUACUUAGAGCACCUUGCUGUACAAUUUAAAAAGAUUAAAUAAGUGUCUAUGAA
rnacentral:lncRNA from 1 species